rnacentral:rRNA from 1 species
GAUGAACGCUAGCGAUAGGCCUAACACAUGCAAGUCGAGGGGCAGCACUUUGGGUGGCGACCGGCGCACGGGUGAGUAACGCGUAUGCGACCUACCCUUGAAUCAGGGAUAGCCCAUUGAAAGAUGGAUUAAUACCUGAUGGACAUUAAUGAAUGCCUGUUUAUUAAUGUAAAGAUUUAUUGUUCAAGGAUGGGCAUGCGUCUGAUUAGCUAGAUGGCGGGGUAACGGCCCACCAUGGCGACGAUCAGUAGGGGUUCUGAGAGGAAGGUCCCCCACAUUGGUACUGAGACACGGACCAAACUCCUACGGGAGGCAGCAGUGAGGAAUAUUGGUCAAUGGGCGGAAGCCUGAACCAGCCAAAUCGCGUGAAGGAAGAAGGUAUUAUGUAUUGUAAACUUCUUUAGCAGUGGAGUAAUAAAGGUCAUGUAUGACCAGAUGCAAGUACACUGAGAAUAAGGAUCGGCUAACUCCGUGCCAGCAGCCGCGGUAAUACGGAGGAUCCGAGCGUUAUCCGGAUUUAUUGGGUUUAAAGGGUGCGUAGGCGGCCUGUCAAGUCAGCGGUUAAACGUCCGGGCUCAACCUGGGCUUGCCGUUGAAACUGGGAGGCUUGAUUGCGCUGGAGGCCGGCGGAAUUCGUAGUGUAGCGGUGAAAUGCAUAGAUAUUACGAAGAACACCGAUUGCGUAGGCAGCCGGCCAUAACGCAAAUGACGCUGAUGCACGAAAGUGCGGGGAUCGAACAGGAUUAGAUACCCUGGUAGUCCGCACAGUAAACGAUGAAUACUUGUUCUUGGCGAUAUAGUGUCAGGGGCAAAGCGAAAGCGAUAAGUAUUCCACCUGGGGAGUACGCCGGCAACGGUGAAACUCAAAGGAAUUGACGGGGGCCCGCACAAGCGGAGGAACAUGUGGUUUAAUUCGAUGCUACGCGAGGAACCUUACCCGGGCUUGAAAGUUAGUGAAUGGACCUGAAAGGGUUCAGACCUCUUCGGAGGACACGAAACUAGGUGCUGCAUGGUUGUCGUCAGCUCGUGCCGUGAGGUGUCGGCUCAAGUGCCAUAACGAGCGCAACCCCUGCUGCCAGUUGCCAUCAUUUAGUUGGGGACUCUGGCGGGACUGCCAUCGCAAGAUGCGAGGAAGGAUGAGAUGACGUCAAAUCAGCACGGCCCUUACGUCCGGGGCGACACACGUGUUACAAUGGCGCAGACAGCGAGGAACGAAGUGGUGACACUGAGGGAAUCUCGAAACUGCGUCCCAGUUCGGAUUGGAGUCUGCAACCCGACUCCAUGAAGCUGGAUUCGCUAGUAAUCGCGCAUCAGCCAUGGCGCGGUGAAUACGUUCCCGGGCC